rnacentral:rRNA from 1 species
AUGACUCAACAAGAUGGAAGUGCGGGACAAGGGAUGAGUGCAAUCGGCUCAGGUAAACUCCUCCUGUACACCGUCUGGCAUCAGUUCCAGUUGCGCCCGAAGCUUUCAAUCUCGCUGCUCCACUUAGUUUGCCGAAACACUGUCGACAUGUGCUCCAUCCAAGAGAGAGAUCAGAGAGGAGAGCAGCAGCCCGCUGCUGCAAUUUUGUUCAUGCUGCUGCUUGGUUACUACACAUCUAUACAGAGAACACCGAGAAGGCUGCUGCUUGCUGAUUACAAUUGCUUCAUGAUAUGUACAUAUCCUUAUGUAUGCUGCUGCUAUGUACCCUUGAUCAUGGUGACAAGGAAUUGA